ACUCCUACGGGAGGCAGCAGUGGGGAAUAUUGGACAAUGGGCGAAAGCCUGAUCCAGCCAUGCCGCGUGUGUGAAGAAGGUCUUCGGAUUGUAAAGCACUUUAAGUUGGGAGGAAGGGCAGUAAGUUAAUACCUUGCUGUUUUGACGUUACCGACAGAAUAAGCACCGGCUAACUCUGUGCCAGCAGCCGCGGUAAUACAGAGGGUGCAAGCGUUAAUCGGAAUUACUGGGCGUAAAGCGCGCGUAGGUGGUUUGUUAAGUUGGAUGUGAAAGCCCCCGGGCUCAACCUGGGAACUGCAUCCAAAACUGGCAAGCUAGAGUACGGUAGAGGGUGGUGGAAUUUCCUGUGUAGCGGUGAAAUGCGUAGAUAUAGGAAGGAACACCAGUGGCGAAGGCGACCACCUGGACUGAUACUGACACUGAGGUGCGAAAGCGUGGGAGCAAACAGGAUUAGAUACCCCUGGUAGGAUAGCG
rnacentral:rRNA from 1 species